UAACUGGAGGACCGAACCGACUAAUGUUGAAAAAUUAGCGGAUGACCUGUGGCUGGGGGUGAAAGGCCAAUCAAACCGGGAGAUAGCUGGUUCUCCCCGAAAGCUAUUUAGGUAGCGCCUCGUGAAUUCAUCUCCGGGGGUAGAGCACUGUUUCGGCUAGGGGGCCAUCCCGGCUUACCAACCCGAUGCAAACUGCGAAUACCGGAGAAUGUUAUCACGGGAGACACACGGCGGGUGCUAACGUCCGUCGUGAAGAGGGAAACAACCCAGACCGCCAGCUAAGGUCCCAAAGUCAUGGUUAAGUGGGAAACGAUGUGGGAAGGCCCAGACAGCCAGGAUGUUGGCUUAGAAGCAGCCAUCAUUUAAAGAAAGCGUAAUAGCUCACUGGUCGAGUCGGCCUGCGCGGAAGAUGUAACGGGGCUAAACCAUGCACCGAAGCUGCGGCAGCGACACUGUGUGUUGUUGGGUAGGGGAGCGUUCUGUAAGCCUGUGAAGGUGUGUCGUGAGGCAUGCUGGAG
rnacentral:rRNA from 1 species